GAUGAACGCUAGCGGCAGGCCUAAUACAUGCAAGUCGAACGGGAUUGCGGUGUAGCUUGCUACACUGCAUGAGAGUGGCGCACGGGUGCGUAACGCGUGAGCAACCUACCCAUAUCAGGGGGAUAGCCCGGAGAAAUCCGGAUUAACACCGCAUGGGACAGUAUUACCGCAUGGUAUAGCUGUUAAAUAUUUAUAGGAUAUGGAUGGGCUCGCGUGACAUUAGCUAGUUGGUGGGGUAACGGCCCACCAAGGCGACGAUGUCUAGGGGCUCUGAGAGGAGAAUCCCCCACACUGGUACUGGGACACGGACCAGACUCCUACGGGAGGCAGCAGUAAGGAAUAUUGGUCAAUGGGCGGAAGCCUGAACAAGCCAUGCCGCGUGCAGGACGACUGCCCUAUGGGUUGUAAACUGCUUUUGUACGGGAAUAACCCUCUCUACGAGUAGAGAGCUGAGCGUACCGUAAGAAUAAGGAUCGGCUAACUCCGUGCCAGCCGCCGCGGUAA
rnacentral:rRNA from 1 species